GACGAACGCUGGCGGCGUGCUUAACACAUGCAAGUCGAACGGGCCCGCCCCUGUUUUUGGGGGUGGGUUGAGUGGCGAACGGGUGAGUAUCACGUGAGUAACCUGCCCCCUGCUCCUGGAUAACUGCUUGAAAGGGCGGCUAAUACGGGGUGUGCCGGCUGGUCCGCAUGGGCCUGGUCGGGAUAGUUUCAUCUUCGGGUGUUUCGGUGGGGGAUGGGCUCGCGGCCUAUCAGCUUGUUGGUGGGGUGAUGGCCCACCAAGGCGGUGACGGGUAGCCGGCCUGAGAGGGUGGGCGGCCACACUGGGACUGAGACACGGCCCAGACUCCUGCGGGAGGCAGCAGUGGGGGGUAUUGCGCAAUGGGCGGAAGCCUGAUGCAGCGACGGCGCGUGAGGGAUGGAGGCCGUCGGGUGGUGAACCUCUUUCUCCGGUGGUGAAGGCCCUGUCCGUUGCGGCGGGGUUGACGGUAGCCGGGUAUGAAGCGCCGGCUAACUACGUG
rnacentral:rRNA from 1 species